GGUGUUGUGGAGAAAUUCCUGAAAUCAAUGGCACCAGGUCAGGAGGGAAGAAAGUGUUCAGGAGCCUCUGAUGUCUUCUGCUGUGAUAUUUAUUGAAGCUUGAUCAAGGAGAAUCAGAGACAUCCUCACAUCCAAUCAGACUUACUGGCUGUGGACUCUCAGAGACUCACUAUGAAGUCGUGGCCUCAGCUCUGAAGUCCAACCCCUCCCAUCUGACACACCUGGAUCUGACUAACAACGACCUGAAAGAUUCAGGAGUGAAGCUUCUGUCUGCUGGACUGGAGAGUCCAAACUGUAGACUGCAGACUCUGAGAGAGGUCCAAGGUUACAUUUCAGAGGAAGACAACAUUCAUGUCACUUUGCACAUUUGAUCCAGUUCUAAAGAUGAUUGAGGAUGAAGCUCACAGUCAGUCAGCUGUGUGCUGAUGGAGAUGACAGUGGUGAUGAGGAUAGUCUAAAUCUGUGCUGUGAAAUGAGAGCAUCACAAGUGCAGGAACACGUGUUAAAGAGGGUUAGAAAGGUUUGUUUGGACUUCAAUAAUCAGUUAUUUCAUUAAGUCUUAUUUAUUAAUUACAUGUUGCCUUUUUUGAACUCUAUAGAAAACAUCUGUCUCAGUAUUUUUCAUGAAAUUGUUGAAACAGGACAAAUGUCUGAUAAUGAUGUCUGAGGUCUUCUGUCUACUUGUUGAAGUAGAAAUAUUUCUUUGGUUUCUGUUGAUUUCAAUGUGUUUCCACAAAUAAUGUCUGAUCAUUGAUAUCAAUGUCUUUAUUUUGAUUUAUGUGAGACAUUUUAUAUAAGAAACUGAAUGAACAACACAUUUUUAUAAAUAAUGUCUUUUUAUGUUUUCAAACCUGAACACAUCUGAU